GUCGAGAGCCCAAGACAGUCUGGGGGUGAGCUUAGAGGCAGCUAUCCCCGAACGAAAGCGUAACAGCUCACAGACCGAGGCUCUCGGCCUUGAAAAUGGACGGGGCUAAAUCUGGUUACCGAGACCGUACGGCACACGGGUAGUUCCGUGUGAUCCGGUAGCGGAGCGAUCCGGUUGGGUAGAAGUGGGGCUGUGAAGUCCCGUGGACCGUCCGGAUUUGAUGAUCCUGGCAGUAGUAACAGCGAAGCAUGGUGAGAAUCCAUGUCACCGAAAGGGAAAGGGUUCUUCGGCGAUGCGUCAUCAGCCGAAGCUUAGUCGAUCCUAAGUGGCGCCGUAACUCGAGCGUCACGAAAGGGAAUCAGGUCAAUAUUCCUGAACCUCGGAAGUACGAUUCGCGGCAACGCAAAGCCGCACUUGUAACUCAUCUGGACGAGCCAAGCACAGCUGUCGCUGUGUUUAACACUAUAAGCGUGCUGAGUACUGUAAUAGUGAGAAGCAGGCGAAGGGUGGAAUAGUAGGUGGUCGGACAUCUAUUUGGCCCAUUUCUGGUGACCUUGAAAAACGAGUGCGGAAGGAUCUUCCGAGUUCGUACCCAGAUCUGACACAGGUUCCCUGGCUGAGAAGGCCAAGGUGUAUCCGGGUCACUCCUACCUGAGGGAAAUCGGCCAAUUAGCAGCGUAACUUCGGGAUAUGCUGUGCCUGGAUUAGUUCACGCUUUUCCAGGUCUUAGUAACUAAGGGGUCCCAACUGUUUAAUACAAACAUAGCUGACUGCGAGCGCGAAAGCGUUAGUACAGUCAGUGAAUCCUGGUCUGUGCCUGUAUGUUAAAGCUCGGGAACGGGUCGAAGCACAGGUUAACGCCGGGACUAACUAUGAGUCUCUUAAGGUAGCCAAAUGCCUUGUCGGUUAAAUGCCGACGUGCAUGAAGGGAGCAAUGAGGUCCCCACUGUCCCCAGGAGGAACCGGGUGAACCUACACCGUACCGAACAGUGUACGUAGCGUCAAUGGGAAGAGAAGUCCCUGCGGAGGUUUACUACGCAGUCUGUCAUUGCCAUUUCUGAUCACAUACAGAGCAUAGUCAGGAGCGACGAACCACACUCUCCGGGGUGUGGGAAUGCGAACUUGUAAUACUGACUAUGUGAUUGGGGAUGGCUAACCUAAGCCAUGCGAGCAUAGGGACACUGGCAGAUAGGCAGUUGGGCUGGGGCGGCACAGGGCUGACAAGAGAUCAGCCCUGACCAAUGCUGAGCUCAGAGGCGACAGAAACGUCUUGUUGAGAUCAAGGGCAUAAGCUCGGUUGACAGGAUCCCAAAAAGCAACGGAUCCUGGGUGGAAACACUGGCCUAGCGAACCUCAAUAUUGCCAAUUGUAAGCGAUUGAGAUGACAAAAAACUUACCCCAGGGGUAACAGAGUUGUCGCGUGCAAGAGUUCAUAUCGACCACGCGGCUUGCUUCCUCGAUGUCGGCUCUUGGUAUCCUCGGGUUGCAUAAGGCCCGAAGGGUGCGGGUGCUCACCGAUUAAAACCGAACGUGAGCUGGGUUUAGACCGUUGCGAGACAGGUUGGUUUCUAUCUAUUGGCGCUGUUGGAUAUCUGAUGGCAAGAUGAUACCGGUACGAGAGGAACGUAUUGUCGCGACCUAUGGUGUACCCGUUGUCUGACAAGGCAAUGCGGGGUAGCUAAGUCGUAAUGGAUAAACGCUGAAUGCAUCUAAGCGUGAAGCCAGACCAAAAAAUAGAUAUCCAUUUGUUAGACGAU
rnacentral:rRNA from 1 species